AUUGUCGAUGAUGUUUUACCACACACAAAUUUUUGAGUUUUAAGUGGCCAUGAGAAUACUUUACAUGCACUACCAUCUGAGACAUC